GCAUCACAGGUAGCUCAGUAGGUUAGAACAUGGUGCUGAUAACACCAAGGUUGCAGGUUCGAUUCCUAUAUGGGGCA